rnacentral:rRNA from 1 species
UACGAAGGGGGCUAGCGUUGCUCGGAAUCACUGGGCGUAAAGGGCGCGUAGGCGGCUUAUCAAGUCGGGGGUGAAAGCCCGUGGCUCAACCACGGAAUGGCCUUCGAUACUGGUAGGCUUGAGACCGGAAGAGGACAGCGGAACUGCGAGUGUAGAGGUGAAAUGCGUAGAGAUCAGGAAGAAUACCCGUGGCGCAAGCGCCCACCUGGCCGAGACCUGACGCUAAGGCACGAAAGCGUGGGGAGCGAACCGG